GACGAACGCCGGUGGCGUGCCUAAUACAUGCAAGUCGAGCGGACCAAUAGAAGCUUGCUUCUGUUGGUUAGCGGCGGACGGGUGAGUAACACGUGGGCAACCUGCCUGUAAGACUGGGAUAACUUCGGGAAACCGGAGCUAAUACCGGAUAAUUCAUCCCCUCGCAUGAGGGGAUGCUGAAAGUCGGUUUACGCUUACACUUACAGAUAGGCCCGUGGCGCAUUAGCUAGUUGGUGAGGUAAUGGCUCACCAAGGCGACGAUGCGUAGCCGACCUGAGAGGGUGAUCGGCCACACUGGGACUGAGACACGGCCCAGACUCCUACGGGAGGCAGCAGUAGGGAAUCUUCCACAAUGGACGAAAGUCUGAUGGAGCAACGCCGCGUGAGCGAUGAAGGCCUUCGGGUCGUAAAGCUCUGUUGUUAGGGAAGAACAAGUAUCGGAGUAACUGCCGGUACCUUGACGGUACCUAACCAGAAAGCCACGGCUAACUACGUGCCAGCAGCCGCGGUAA
rnacentral:rRNA from 1 species